AGAGAAGCAUACACUUAUAAUUUGCAAAGGAAAAAUAUUUACAGCUGGGUCAAGCUGUUGGGCCCAACUGCCCAGGCCCAAUGACUUACUCCUAGACUUGCUCGAAUAAACCCUAUAUUUGGGCCUGUUUGCAAGUCUAGCCCAAUUUGCCGACGUACUACAUGUUCAUAAAAAUAAAACAAAGGGUCCAACUAUAGUGACCCAAUACUAAACAAGCCAAAGAAAGAAAACUGAAUUUAAAGAGUUAUAAAAGUCCAUUUACACUGCUGAAGGUCCUGUACAAAAUAUCAUUUCUUACAAUUUAUCAUACUAUUAUCUAAAAGAAUACUAAAAUGAUCAAAAUAACUUCUAAUUUUAACUUCUGAUUUCUCUUCUGCCUUCGAGUCCUCUCCUACAAUGUGUUGACUUGAAAGAGAACAACUAUGGAACUGCCUCUCACAAAUCCACAUUUUCAACUUCAGCCUUGAGAUUAUUCGGCCUUAUGGCCAUCUCACAUACCAACACAAAAACAACAGUGACAAUACAACCAUUAGUACAUAUAAGAAAGUCAUGAAUUAAUGUAACUUUAACAUUAACUAAAAGAGCAAUUUAAAAGAGGUUGUUUCAGCAAUUAGAAGUUCAUACUCAAAACAUUCUGCAUUCUUUCACAUAAAAAAAACUAGCUAAGUAAAGUGCUCCAACAUGCUAGUGAGGCAAUAGUUUAAUACAUUUGAAGAAAUCAUGAUCAUAAGGAAUGAAUAAGAUGGAGACAGUAAGAGACACUCAGCAACCAAAAGCUUUUCAUUCAAACAUCAGACCACAGAUUACAGAAGCCAAUGGACCUAAAUCAAGCAUGUGAGUCCUAAAAUGUGUACCUUUAUCAGCAAAAUAAACAAUAAAGGAAAAAUCUCUCUGAACAAAACUGGACUUCAGCAGCAAAACCAACAACAACAACAACACCAAAAUGACCUAAAGAUUCAAAUCAAAACCCAGAACCAGCUUGAAAUCCAGAAGAUUCAGCUAAAAGGGCUAAGCGAGUUUCUAUUUCAAACCAUGUUUCAAUCUUGGAAGGGAUCAGAAAUGAAAAGGUUUUUUGAAGUUUUUUCCCCAAAUUUCUCGGAUCUGAACCCUUUUUUUAGAAGAAGAUAGAGCCUUUUGCAGUAAACAUAGAAUGAGAAUAUGUAGAGAACUUUUAGAUUUCUUUUAGGU
rnacentral:lncRNA from 1 species